UACAGAGGGUGCAAGCGUUAAUCGGAAUGACUGGGCGUAAAGGGCGCGUAGGUGGAUAUUUAAGUGAGAUGUGAAAGCCCCGGGCUUAACCUGGGAAUGGCAUUUUAGACUGGAUAUCUGGAGUACAGUAGAGGGUGGAGGAAUUUCCGGUGUAGCGGUGAAAUGCGUAGAUAUCGGAAGGAACACCAGUGGCGAAGGCGACCACCUGGACUGAUACUGACACUGAGGCGCGAGAGCGUGGGUAGCAAAC
rnacentral:rRNA from 1 species